CAGAAUGAUCGCUUUCUCUUCUUAAACGGCAUUAUUGCCGAUAAGAUAUAUAUAUACACCUUUGCGUCCAUACAUGUCCCAAACCAUAGACAGGCACAAUUUAUUAUGGGGACUCUAGUCAAACUAUUGGAAGGGUGAUCUGAUCGUUGGAGGCUUUUUUUUUCUCAUAUAUAAUCUUUAUUGAAACACAUAAAAUAAUGCAGCACUCAUGAAUGUAGGCAGUUGGCAGUCUGACUGUUAGCCAUUAACAAUUAACACUUCACAGGAACCGCUUGCUAAACAGGUGUCAUAUGAUACUGAACAGCUAAGGUAGAGGGGAGGGAAGGUAUAAUCUUUUCACAGGUACCUGAACUAAUUGGUGAUACAUUUUGUCUUCCAAGCACAAUUACCCCAUUAUCCUCCGGCUUAUAUGCCAUUCCUCAGUUUACGACCGUGUUAAUACUGCACUCUUGCUCUCCUGUCACUUGUCUCCUCAGGACCUAUCUUAGCUCUUUGGGUUGACUACCUCUUUGUCCGACAGGAGGGCCUCUCCUACCUACGUACCGGUUAGUAUCGACCAUGAAUCUCCC